GAUGAACGCUGGCGGCGUGCUUAACACAUGCAAGUCGAACGAAGCACUUUACUUGAUUUCCUUCGGGGAUGAUUGUUCUGUGACUGAGUGGCGGACGGGUGAGUAACGCGUGGAUAACCUGCCUCACACAGGGGGAUAACAGUUGGAAACGACUGCUAAUACCGCAUAAGCGCACAGCACCGCAUGGUGCAGUGUGAAAAACUCCGGUGGUGUGAGAUGGAUCCGCGUCUGAUUAGCUUGUUGGCGGGGUAACGGCCCACCAAGGCGACGAUCAGUAGCCGGCCUGAGAGGGCGACCGGCCACAUUGGGACUGAGACACGGCCCAGACUCCUACGGGAGGCAGCAGUGGGGAAUAUUGCACAAUGGGGGAAACCCUGAUGCAGCGACGCCGCGUGAGCGAUGAAGUAUUUCGGUAUGUAAAGCUCUAUCAGCAGGGAAGAUAA
rnacentral:rRNA from 1 species